GACGAACGCUGGCGGCGUGCCUAAUACAUGCAAGUAGAACGCACAGUUUAUACCGUAGCUUGCUACACCAUAGACUGUGAGUUGCGAACGGGUGAGUAACGCGUAGGUAACCUGCCUGGUAGCGGGGGAUAACUAUUGGAAACGAUAGCUAAUACCGCAUAAUAUUGAUUAUUGCAUGAUAAUUGAUUGAAAGAUGCUAUUGCAUCACUACCAGAUGGACCUGCGUUGUAUUAGCUAGUAGGUGAGGUAACGGCUCACCUAGGCGACGAUACAUAGCCGACCUGAGAGGGUGAUCGGCCACACUGGGACUGAGAAACGGCCCAGACUCCUACGGGAGGGAGCAGUAGGGAAUCUUCGGCAAUGGACGAAAGUCUGACCGAGCAACGCCGGGUGAGUGAAGAAGGUUUUCGGAUCGUAAAGAUCUGUUGUAAGGGAAGAACGGGUGUGGGAGUGGAAAGUUCACACUGUGACGGUAUCUUACCAGAAAGGGACGGCUAACUACGUG
rnacentral:rRNA from 1 species